rnacentral:rRNA from 1 species
UACGUAGGGGGCAAGCGUUGUCCGGAAUUAUUGGGCGUAAAGAGCGCGUAGGCGGUCCGAUAAGUCGGCUGUGAAAGUCAAGGGCUCAACCCUUGAAAGCCGGCCGAUACUGUCGGACUAGAGUCCGGAAGAGGCGAGUGGAAUUCCCGGUGUAGCGGUGAAAUGCGCAGAUAUCAGGAAGAACACCCGUGGCGAAGGCGGCUCUCUGGGACGGUACUGACGCUGAGACGCGAAAGCGUGGGGAGCGAACAGG